GUCUGUACCCGAAAUCAUCUUAGCUAACUUGCAAAAGAGGCGGAUGCUGAAGGUAUGGGGAGUGAUUGGGGUGAAGUCGUAACAAGGUAGCUGUAGGUGAACCUGCAGAAGGAUCA
rnacentral:rRNA from 1 species